CUUGUAAGAGACUCCAUCCUGUGUAAGAAUGGCUGGAAAAGUCCCUGUGGCAUUAGCAGGAUUAAUAGGGCUAUCCCCUGGUUAAAUCAGAUGCACAAGACAAAUGGUUUAAGGAUCCACCCUGAAUUCUACAAUUUGCAUUUACAUCUACAUUACAAUGAUAAAGGCUACUCAGAAGGUUCCUCAUGAACUGAUUCAUCCAAGAUAUAGGGACGAGUAUAAAAUUGAAGGCAGGGAAGCAGUAGGUGUUGGAAGAGAACCAGUUCCAGAACUGACACUCAGAUGUUGAGAUGGACCAGAACAUUCAGUCAACUGUAAUCAAGGAUCUCCUUACACUUAAACAUUGAGGGACUUUUUCCCAUGUACUGCCACUGGAGGAAAUUAAGCAUACCUUGUGCCAUUACUGUUAAACAAGAAAACCUCCAGCUGCGGCUGAAUAACAUGGCCCAGUACCUGCUGAAAUCAGCACAGAGAGAUUGGUAAAAUAGUGGAGGAGACACCAGAAAACUUUUAACUGGACCAACAUAAGGUUAAAGAGAACACAAACUUCUGAAACUGUGUUCUUAUUUGAAAGAUAAGGGGGACACUUAUGUAAUGCCACAUAGAGAGACUGUAUAUCUUCAAGGAUGGAAUCUUUGAGAUGUGAGAAUAUAUAAGAUAUAUGUUUGUUUUAUAUUCUAUGAACACAUACAGGAUUACUUUUAUCACAAAUACAAAAGUAAACCGAA